rnacentral:lncRNA from 1 species
GGUGCAUUAACCUUUAAAAAUUCUCAAAGCGCCAGUAGUAUAAGUGAGUAUAAGGGAGAUCAUAAAAAGCCAAAAAGCCAAAUAAUUCCAAGAUCUCAUCACUGAAUCUAGAUUGGGGAAGGAGGUAGGCCCUCCGACUUCCUACGUGAAGGUGAUUGUUAUCUUGAGAAAAACUUUAAAAAGCGUCGUUGAAACUAGAUUGGGGAAGGAGGUAGGCCCUCCGACUUCCUACGUGAAGACGAUGUUUUAAGGAAUAUCAUUGAAUCUAGAUUGGGGAAGGGGGUAGGCCCUCCGACCUUCUACGUGAAAAUGUUGUUCCUUAAAUAAAGAACUUAAAAUGUGCAUAUGGCAAAAGAACUAAGAUUCUCAAAAAACUCCCAUCUCUCUUAUAUGAAUUGUAGAAGGAAUUUUUCUUGGUUAGUUUAGUGCUAGGAUUAGACCAUGUUUCCUCGUUAUACCUAUCUUAUACAGGAGCAAGAAAAGGGUUGGACUUCAC